rnacentral:rRNA from 1 species
AGAGUUUGAUCAUGGCUCAGGAUGAACGCUGGCGGCGUGCUUAACACAUGCAAGUCGAACGGUGAAGCAGAGCUUGCUCUGUGGAUCAGUGGCGAACGGGUGAGUAACACGUGAGCAAUCUGCCCCUGACUCUGGGAUAAGCGCUGGAAACGGCGUCUAAUACUGGAUACGAGCCGUGAAGGCAUCUUCAACGGUUGGAAAGAUUUUUCGGUCAGGGAUGAGCUCGCGGCCUAUCAGCUUGUUGGUGAGGUAAUGGCUCACCAAGGCGUCGACGGGUAGCCGGCCUGAGAGGGUGACCGGCCCCACUGGGACUGAGACACGGCCCAGACUCCUACGGGAGGCAGCAGUGGGGAAUAUUGCCCAAUGGGCGCAAGCCUGAUGCAGCAACGCCGCGUGAGGGAUGACGGCCUUCGGGUUGUAAACCUCUUUUAGCAGGGAAGAAGCGAAAGUGACGGUACCUGCAGAAAAAGCGCCGG